UUGGAGGGCAAGUCUGGUGCCAGCAGCCGCGGUAAUUCCAGCUCCAAUAGCGUAUAUUAAAGUUGUUGCAGUUAAAAAGCUCGUAGUUGAAUUUCGGGGUUAGUAGGUUGGUCAUGCCUCUGGUAUGUACUGGUCUCACUGAUUCCUCCUUCCUGAUGAGCCGUAAUGCCAUUAAUUUGGUGUUGCGGGGAAUUUGGACUGUUACUUUGAAAAAAUUAGAGUGUUUAAAGCAAGCUAACGCUUGGAUACAUUAGCAUGGAAUAAUGAAAUAGGACGUUCGAUCCUAUUUUGUUGGUUUCUAGGAUUGACGUAAUGAUUAAUAGGGAUAGUUGGGGGCAUUAGUAUUCAAUUGUCAGAGGUGAAAUUCUUGGAUUUAUUGAAGACUAACUACUGCGAAAGCAUUUGCCAAGGAUGUUUUCAUUAAUCAAGAACGAAAGUUAGGGGAUCGAAGACGAUCAGAUACCGUCAUAGUCUUAACCAUAAACUAUGCCGACUAGGGAUCGGAUGAUGUUAAUUUUUUAAUGACUCAUUCGGCGCCUUACGGGAAAC
rnacentral:rRNA from 1 species